rnacentral:hammerhead_ribozyme from 1 species
GCUCAGCUGACGAGUUUCAAAUAAGACGAAACGCACGUCCCGUAU